rnacentral:rRNA from 1 species
AGUGGCGGACGGGUGAGUAACGCGUAGGUAACCUGCCUGGUAGCGGGGGAUAACUAUUGGAAACGAUAGCUAAUACCGCAUAAGAGUAGAUGUUGCAUGACAUUUGCUUAAAAGGUGCAAUUGCAUCACUACCAGAUGGACCUGCGUUGUAUUAGCUAGUUGGUGGGGUAACGGCUCACCAAGGCGACGAUACAUAGCCGACCUGAGAGGGUGAUCGGCCACACUGGGACUGAGACACGGCCCAGACUCCUACGGGAGGCAGCAGUAGGGAAUCUUCGGCAAUGGACGGAAGUCUGACCGAGCAACGCCGCGUGAGUGAAGAAGGUUUUCGGAUCGUAAAGCUCUGUUGUAAGAGAAGAACGAGUGUGAGAGUGGAAAGUUCACACUGUGACGGUAUCUUACCAGAAAGGGACGGCUAACUACGUGCCAGCAGCCGCGGUAAUACGUAGGUCCCGAGCGUUGUCCGGAUUUAUUGGGCGUAAAGCGAGCGCAGGCGGUUAGAUAAGUCUGAAGUUAAAGGCUGUGGCUUAACCAUAGUACGCUUUGGAAACUGUUUAACUUGAGUGCAAGAGGGGAGAGUGGAAUUCCAUGUGUAGCGGUGAAAUGCGUAGAUAUAUGGAGGAACACCGGUGGCGAAAGCGGCUCU